CAAUCAGGUUCGAGAUCCAACUGCACCUUGGUAUUCUCUACAUAAGCAUUUUAUUUGAAAUGGAUUUUAUUGAGCGAUGUGCAGGAGCUGUGUCACUGCCCCUCCAUCAGAGUUCUGGACCUGUCAAAUAACCACCUCCACAACCCAGAAAUCUUCACUGUACUGGAGAAGAUGCCCAAUCUGUGAGUGUUAAACCUGAAGGGUAACGAUAUCAUCUGGAGAAUUCCCAACUACAGGAAGUCGCUAAUCCUUCGUCUGAAGGAGCUGACGUCCCUGGACGACCAUCCUGUGACUCCUGAGGAGAGGGCCUGUGCUGAGGCUUGGGCCGUGGGAGGUUCGGAAGGAGAAGGUAAGGAAAGGGAAUUAUGGAAAACGAGCGAGAUUGAGGAGGCUGAGGACGCCGUGAGACUCACGCAUGAAACCGUACUGGAGCUGAGACGAGCUCAAGAGCAGAGAGAACACGAGAAGAACGGCAUGCACUGCUACAAAUAAAUUCCUCACGUAUUUCCUUUUACAUUCUUUUUCAUUCUCGUUUCUAAGCAUUUUUUCUUCCGGCCCACUUUAGCAAGAACGUACUGGUAAAGUGGGACAGGGAAUUACUUCAUUAAUACACUCACAGUCCACUUUGUUAGGAUUUUUUUUAAAAAAUCACUUGGUCUUUUUCCAGUCUCCAUUCCGUCCGGUUUGGGUGAGUCUGUGCCCAUGAGAGAGUCAGAUUCCUGUUCUUGUUGAAUGAAUUUUAACCCACUCUUCCUUGCAGAAUGCUUCUAGAUCGAAGAUAUUUUUAAGAUUUGCUUAUAUAUUUUCAAAGUUGAAGUCAGGGGACUGUGAGGGCCAUUAUAAAAGUAUCAUCUUGAGGCUUGUGGUGGCUUUUGAAGUUUAUCAGCUUCAGUUUCUUGAUUGACUGGCUCACAUUUACGUUCAGAGUUUGCCGAAAUGUACUAUCCGUACUUCCGUCUACCCGCACGAUGUUUUCUGCUCCACCCCCAUGCUUAACAGUUGCCAAGGUGUUCUUUUCAUCAAAUGCCACUCCUUUUUUCCCCCCCUCCAAACAUACCUUUGGUGAUUGUGGCCAUGGCCAUGUGGUAUUUGUGCACAACAAUGCCUCUGGCGUAUUAAGAUAGUGUUUUACAUACGUCAGACAUUCGCUUUUUUGAUGAGGACACGGAUAAGGUUACCUUCUAAUGACUCUCCAUGCAAAUCAUGUUUGUGCAAGCAAUGCCGCUCAGGAGAGCGGUGCACCACCACUCCUGUCUCAGCCAAACCUUCCCACAGGUCUUUAGUGUCAUAUGGGGAUUUUGCUUUGCCGGUCUGGCCUGUAUACGGGCAGUUCUAUCUUUACAUCUACACCAGGCAGUGCAGGACCACAACAAUGAAACUCCCAAACACCCCAACAAUGGACUAUUCUAAUGGCUGCGGUCUGGAAAGCGCCUCUGGAACCACGUGUCCAGGACUGAGAGCUACAGAGGAACUUCUUCUCUCACGCCAUACCGUCUGUUUACUUCAUUUAUUGUUUUGUUAUGCUACAUCUCAUCAAUGUACAUGUAACAAAUACAUAAUGGAAUUCUGAAAGUUUUCUUAGUCUUCCAGAUCUUGCUUUGACUUUUGCAGUUCCCCUUAACUGCCAUUUCUUCAAGAGUCAUGAAACACUAAAGUAAAUGUUCUGAGAUUUGAACAGGUGUCUGUGUCGCGCAUCAUAAAAGACACUGUUAGCAUCCGUUCAUUUUAAUUGCAGGAGAAAACUGGUUAAUUUUGAGCUUCCCCCCCCGCUACGUUCGUCUUCCGGGUUUAAAAUCCACAUCGUGUCGACUUCACAGGCAGUGACGUGGCAGUGUACUAUAGUACAUCGAUGACGCAUCAGUGUCUCAUAAUUAUUCACGAGACUGAGUGUUCUUAUCCUAUGAGAAGACCUGGUGUCUUAAUUAUUCAUGCAUGGCUUUCCCUGCAAUGCUAGACUCUGGCUGCCAGCGGUUGGUUGGCCACGCCCACUCCUCCUCCCUUCUUCUCACAGCCAUCCACGCCCAUUUAAGUCACAUUUUUCAAAAGGAUUGUGAGGUAGACGAGCUGCAAGAAGGGGGUUUCAUGACA
ensembl:lncRNA